GGGGUCGUAGCUCAGCUGGGAGAGCGUCUCGUUCGCAAUGAGAAGGUCGGGAGUUCGAUUCUCCUCGGCUCCACCA
rnacentral:tRNA from 1 species